rnacentral:rRNA from 1 species
UACGUAGGGUGCAAGCGUUGUCCGGAAUUAUUGGGCGUAAAGAGCUCGUAGGCGGUCUGUCGCGUCUGCUGUGAAAACUCGGGGCUUAACCCCGGGCCUGCAGUGGGUACGGGCAGACUAGAGUGCGGUAGGGGAGACUGGAAUUCCUGGUGUAGCGGUGAAAUGCGCAGAUAUCAGGAGGAACACCGGUGGCGAAGGCGGGUCUCUGGGACAUAACUGACGCUGAGGAGCGAAAGCAUGGGGAGCGAACAGG